rnacentral:misc_RNA from 1 species
GGGGAUUCCUGCUUGCUUUGUUAUCAGAAAUACAUCCAAAACUACACCGAAUUCAUAAAAUGCAAUUAUUCUAUUCUGUCAUUUUACAAAGUGAAUGAGGUAAAAGUUUCGUAUAACAAAAUACAAUACAACCUCUCCCUGUACAAGUUGUGAUUGAGCAGAGGACACACAUGAUGUGAUAUCUAAUAAUAUCAAAAGAACCAUCCAGUCUUAAAAUUCUUCAUGGACUUCAGGGUCCUCAUAAGCAGGAGCUUCAUAACUACUAGACUCUUCUGGAGCUUCAUAACUACUAGACUCUUCUGGAGCUUCAAAGCUUGAAUAUGUACUUGAUUCACUAUCAUACGACUCCUUGGGUACCUCGGAACUAGUUUCCUUGUACAAUUCAUCAUACACAGUUCUAUCCACUUCUAUUUCCUUUAGUUGGAGAAAUGCAAGUAAAUGAUCCACGCCAUUAACUAAAUCAUACACCAUUAAUCCAACCUUUCCUCCAACCCAACUGCCCAACUCACUUCCAACCAAGUAACCAAACCUACCCAUGGUCUGCUCCCCGAGAUAACCAACCCAAUAGGCGCCAAACAAGGUACCAGAACCCCUCAAUGCCCCUUCAGUCGGUGUACCUCCAAGAUAAAGUGCUUCAAAAAAGUCCCAUCCUGCAGAAAUUAUCGGACCAACAAUACGCUUCGUUUUUCGAACGGCCAAUUUUGCAGCUUUUGCUCCUUCUUUCUGAGCUACUUUAGCUGCUUCUUUUGCUGAGAUGCCUUGUGAUAUGGCAUCAGCCAGAGCGAUCUCAAUAGCGGAGUUCCUUGCUAUCUCCACAUGAGAGGAUCUGAUGUUAUAAGCAUACAGCUUCACACCUUCCUUGACUAAACAUGCUACGCUUCCCGUACCCCCAUCAAAACAUUGCAACCAAGUAAAUUCCCCACUCUUCGAUGCAGCCUCUUGACCAACCAACUCCCUACAUUUUUCAGCGGUGAUGCUGAGAAUUAGUAGGCCAACGAGAAAGAGAAGAACUUGAACCCUCUUCUUCUCAAUCAUUGAACUCAAAAAUGACUACACACAAACCCUAAGUAUCAAAAGCGAAUCUAAGAAGAUGGAUCUGCAGCAGUUGAGUAUCUAUGAACUUGACUCAGUAGACAAAGAACGCGUUGGGAUAAAUGAAUUUAUUUAUUUUUGC